AGUGGCGACCGGGUGAGUAACACGUGACUAACCUACCACAGUGGGGGAUAACCUCGGGAAACCGGGGCUAAUACCGCAUAACAUCGCAAGAUCAAAGGAGCAAUCCGCUGAAGGAGGGGGUCGCGGCUGAUUAGUUAGUUGGUGAGGUAACGGCUCACCAAGACGAAGAUCAGUAGCCGGCCUGAGAGGGCGCACGGCCACACUGGAACUGAAACACGGUCCAGACUCCUACGGGAGGCAGCAGUGGGGAAUUUUGCGCAAUGGGGGAAACCCUGACGCAGCAACGCCGCGUGGAGGAUGAAGUCCCUUGGGAUGUAAACUACUUUCGAUCGGGACGAUUAUGACGGUACCGGAAGAAGUAGCACCGGCUAACUCUGUGCCAGCAGCCGCGGUAAUACAGAGGGUGCAAGCGUUGUUCGGAAUUAUUGGGCGUAAAGGGCGCGUAGGCGGUGCGGUAAGACUGUGGUGAAAUCUCCGGGCUCAACUCGGAAAUUGCCGCGGU
rnacentral:rRNA from 1 species